GUUCUCUUCUCCUUUCGAGCGUGGAUCACUAGCCGUUGUGGAGAAUCGGUGGCACGAAGAACGCGACGGAUACUGCCCGAUUGUCGAGACGAUACGGUAUCGCGCGUAAGGAAGAAACUUUGCUGGCAGCUGUAUACUGUUUAGAAUCGAAGAGAAGAAAAAGAAGUGGAAGAGGAGAAGGAGAAGGAGAAGGAAGAGGAGAAGGAGGCCGAUAAUAUCCCUCUCGAACGCCUCUCUUCCUGUCCCCCUCUGACCCUUCUCUCGAACCAUUGCUGCUACCUCAUCCCUCCCCCUACCUCUUUCUUACUCGUUUCGUGACGACGUAAAUAAACGAAGGAUCGUUCGACGUCGACAUGUGUUUUUAUCCUCUCGUGCCUUACACACACGCACAUAUUAACACAGAGAACGACAUACGUAUAUGUAUGUACACGCGGUUUUAUUUAUCAUAAUAUUAGAGCUGCUAAAAGCGAAGAUCGCAACUAAAGAAAGGAGAGGAAGAGAGAGAGAGAGAAAGAGAAAGAGAGAUCUAGGGAGCUACUACUCGCGCUUCUUACAUAGUCCAUUUUCAUGGUUAUCGCAAGAGUUAGCAAGAAAGAGUAUAACUUAAUCGCACAGGGACGCUUAUCUUCAGAAGACUCGAAACGAGUUGUGAUAAACGAGAGAGGCCGAAGGCUGAAUCAACGUCGAAAUCGCGUUUCGAACCGUAUAAAAGCCGUACGUACUUAUGUAUAUACAUAUACAUAUACACAAAUACACACGGUUGCCCGUCGAACCGAUCGAUAAUUUUGGUUUGACCUCUGGAUAACUCGAGCACGUGCGAGAUAUUGGAUUCGCUUUGAGAGGAGGAAACAACAGUGGCAGAACCGAUUUUAAACGCGAAUCAACGUGCCAACACAAUUUUCUUGCCUUUUCUCUAUCGAGAGAGAAAAAGAGAGAGAGAUUCCUGAUAGUCUCUAGUUUCAUACAAUCCACCCCCACGCCCCGCACCUCUCAUGCAUUCUUUCUUCUCCCUUCCCUAGAAAAUUCUUAUCGUCAUUUUACGCUUUUACUUUUACCUACCCUUUUCCACUCUUUACAACUUUACCAACCACCAUUUUUUAUCAACCCAUCUUUACCACCCUAUUCUAUUUCGCUAUUUCUUUCUUUUCAUCUUUCUCUUGAAAAUGUCCGAUGAACCAACCUGUUACGCGUAGUAUCAAAAAGUAACAUUACUUCUCCCAUUUUUUUUUAAUAUGGUGAAAUGAUGACGUGUAAUAAUAUUAUGAAUUUUGCGAAUAUGCAUAUACCAAUAUGCUUAUAUGAAUUGUACCAACCACCAACCAACCCAACCCACCCCAUCCUGCUUCACCUUUCCCAUUCUCCCUCGCUAUCACCCGAGUCGACGAGUUUAGUUGCAGGAAACAACAGAAGCUACUUGUCGAACCGUGUCCCGUCGUAGAGUAAGUUAACUCCUAUAGAAGGCACUAUAUAUAUGUGUGUGUAUACAAUAUGUAUAUAUGUACGUACGUAUGUAUAUAGCACGUUUCCCAUUGCGUGUCACUGGGUCACUACAUUUCGCAUAGGGGCAGACCAACGAUGGGCUGCUGUUUUUUUCUUUUUUUCUUUUCUCUUAUAUUUUUUUUCCUAUUUUUUUUUCAUCCUUUUUUAUCAACGUAAAUGCAUCUCACGGAAUGAAUUCCUUCCGGUUUCGUCGAGACGGACUAAUCGCCAGACGAACGACGAAAAUGAAUAACUCGUUGUUCGUAAAGUUUGUUUGGGUGAUCGAUUUAAUCGAGAGAGAAAGAGAGAGAGAGAGAGUAUGAAAGAUCAUCCCAUCCCAUUUUUUCUCUUUUUUUUUCUUUUUUCAAUAAUAUUAACGAAAAACACGAAGAUAAAUGACAUAGAAAUCUAAAAUGCCGUUGCAAGUAUUAUGCAGGAAACAAACAUCGGUGUUAUCUCGUCUUGUGUGACGUAACUCCGUGUAACAGAUACGACGCGAUUCGAGAUAGAGUGAAAAGAAAAACAAAGAAAGAAAAAAAGAAACAAAGAAACACGAUUAAAAGAAAAAAAAAGAGAGUGGAGUAACAUAAGAUAACACAGAUAAAGAUUUUAAUCGGUUAGGAUCGAGCUUAACCCGAAGAGAGAGCAUCGUUUUACCUCCUUUUUUCUUUUUAUUUUUUUUUUUCUUGUUUUCUUUCUUUUGUUUUGUUUUUCAUACAAGCGUAUAGAAUCGAGCUUCAACGUAUGAAUGUAUAUACAGUAUGAAUGUAUAUAGUAUGAAGUCAAGUCGUACUUCAGGCAAGCCGCCACCGGCUGUCCUUACAUACUCUCGCAUGAUUCUUAGUGCGUCUCGUGACGUCACCGGCGCAAAACGUGGCAACGUAGCGAUAGAAGUACAAGCAGCGUUGCCUGAUAGUACGAAACUUCUGGAUUGCGUCGUUCCUAGGUCGUCGUCGUCGCGUCGUUGGUCUAUAGUUCGUCAACGAUUUCCGUUAAAAUCGAACUUUGCUGUUGAAUCUUUCGUAGAGAUAUUUAUUUCUAUGUAGAUAGAUAAAAAGAGAUGUAUACAUACAUACAUAUAUAUGAUAUAUAUAUAUAAUAUAUAUAGAGAGAGAGAGAGAAAGGAAAAGAUACGUAAUGCCGUGAUUCAGUUGACGGUAUCGAUUUACUACUCUACUCUACUCCUCUCUCUCUCUCUCUCUCUCUCUCUCUCUUUUUCUCUCUCUUUUCUCCCUCUCCUUCCUCCCUCUCCUUCCUCCGACGUUCGAAGCGAUGACGAACCACAAGCAAUGUCGUAGAGUGUAGUAGAAACAAGUAAGAAGGAGAAGAGAGAUGUGGAUAGAGACGAUGGCAAAGAAGCAGAAGCAGCGGCAACGGCAAUAGCACAGCAGCAGCAGCAGUCUACCCUUGUGUUCGUUCGGUUCUCAUGGAAAAGCGCCUCAGGAGACUCCGCGUAUUGGGUGGUGGUGGUGGUAGUGGUAGUGGUAGUAGUGGUGUGUAGUGGUGACGACGACGAUGGUAGUAGUGAUGGAGGUGGUAGUAGCGGUGGCGCAGGAGGGUGUGGCGGGUGGAGGGAGAGAUAAUACCGUUCCGUCACGUCACGGUGCAAGCCGGCCGGAGAAAAUCAAUCCGGUCGUUCACUACUAACCUUCUGGUAGAACCGCGACGACUCGUGCUACUAUCACCGUCGAAAACGUCGCCGCUGCUUCAAGGAUCUCGACGCGAUAUUGACCUGGGGUUGCGUUAGGUUAUUCCCGCCGAGGUUCUUGUACCUAUCGCUCGAAUACCAUCCCGACGACUCUUCCUUCUCUCUUCUCUCUCUCUCUCUCUCUUUCUCUCAUUCUGAAUCUCACAUAUAUAUAUAUAUAUAUAUAUAUAUAUCAUGCUUUUCUAGCACGAAUGCAAAGUCGGAUCGUUAGAUGUAACGUUGCUAAUGAGAUUUCCGUUUCGAGUAUCAACCCUGUCCCCCUUUGCUCUUGUCCUUGGCCUCGUAUUGUCGGUACGAACGGCUAGCGACAAACGCGAGGAGAAAAAGCGCGAAAGAUAUUAUUAUUAUUAUUGUUGUUAUUACUAUUAUUACUAUUAUUAUUAUUAUUAUUAUUAUUAUUAUUAUUAUUAUUAUUAUUAUUAUUAUUAUUCUCAUCAUCAUCAUCAUCAUCAUCAUCAUCAAUUUCUGUCCGUUAAUUCGAUUCGUCCGAUUUAAAAUCUUUCUUUUUUUUGUUUUUCUUUUUUUUUCUUUUGCAUUCGUUAUUCGUUGCGAAAGCACCGAUGACUAUCGAGCCAAGUAGAGCGUACGUUCUCUUCCUGUUUCUUUCUACGACCCACGCCUUUCGCCUUUUCGUUUGAUCAACAUAGAACUUCGCAAAGAUCAUCUGCUUGAUGAAAAUUACUAAUUCUUUUUUUUUUUUUUUUUUUUUUUUUUUUUUUUUUUUUUUUUUUUUUUUUUUUUUUUUUUCAUACGGCUAUUAGAUUAACGUAGUUGAGGUUAGUGAUUUUGAAAGAGUUUUAUAUCGUACGAUCGUUCGCGUUGAUCAUCCGCAUUGGUGAACUACGUAUAUGUGUAUGUAAAUACGUACGUAUGUCGUGUAUAAUAUAUAUAUAUAUAUAUAUAUAUAUAUAUAUAUGUUAUAUAUUUAUGUAGUAAAAAGCACAACGAACGAACGCUCGUUCGACAACGUCGACCUAAUUCGGUAGGCAACCUACUAGCAACUACAAUACGAUGACGUCACGAAUACGACGGUCGAUCUCCGUAAGCAGUCACGGCUAAAAACGCGACGCGUUGUCGGUCCGAUCAUACGAGCUGUUGUUACAUUGGCGCGCGACAAUGGCACGGUGUCGUACGUUACAUACGUUACGUUUACGUUAUGCGCUCUGCGAUGUCACGGCGUGACAAUGCAACGUAUCGAGGACGACAACGAAAGGUUUGAGGAGAGGGGAAAGAGAGAAAGGCAGACAUUAAUAGUUUUACUCGAUAAUAGACAAUUCUCUCAUUAUCCUGAAUUGAAUUAUGUUCUUUGAGUAUGUGUUAUUAAAACAAACCUUUAUACACGAAUCUCAUUUUGACUUUUACCACGAGGAGAGACAGCCAGAAAAAUUCACUACCACCAUAUCGCCGCCGCCGUCGCAGCGGUUCGCCGCCAUCAUUCAAGAUGGCGUCGUUAAACGUAGCAUCGGGAGAAAACGAAAGUAAUAUAACAGACAUUGCGCCGCUCGCCGCUCAGCCGCUCGUUGAGAUAGUGGCUUCUUGCGUUGUUGCAUAUCUUCUUUCGAGAGAACGUUUCGAAAGGAAACGAUAACAAACGGCAAUAACGUUCUUUUUCAAUCGUCCUGUCCUUUUCCUUUCUUAUCUUUCCCUCUUCUUUUCUUAUCUUUCAUUCUUUUCUUUAUCCGUGAUGCUGACCGGGGGAGGGAAGAAGGAAUGUUACAACUAUGCUGUCAUAUAUUCGACCGAGUUUACAGGUAUGUUUAUAAACAAACGCAAAGGAAAGAAGGCAUCAAACGGCAUAUAGUUUGAGAGAGAAAGAAAAGGAUGGGAGAAGGAUGGAAAAUCGAAGACAGCUCUCGCGUUCCUGUUGGGUUUCAGGUCCAAAUCAACAUUUUGCAUGGCGUUUUGGUUAGGUAUCACCUCGUUUGUCUCUGGGGGAAAAGAGGGUACGCUCUGCAAAACCCUCCUUUUUUACGCUUCAUCGCUCUUUCUGUCGUCGUCGCGUUGUCUUCGUCUCUUUCUCCCUACCCCCCUUCUCUCCUUUUCUCUCUCCCUUACAGCUUUUCUCAUGACUAACGUGACGUCAUCUUAUAAGCUCGAAAGAGCGACUACACCGGAGAGUAGCGGGAAGGAGAAAAGGCACGCAACGUGGCUCGACAGUCUCACUCCUUCCCCCUCUCUCUCGCCUGACCUCCUCGUCGAACGCAACCAUCCCAUCCACACAUCAACGAUGCACACGCUCGACGACGACGACGACGACGACGACUCGACGACGCACAAUGACAUCGCUCGCGUGUAGCCGUUGGUUCGACGCUCGGCCGGCUGCUAUUCCCCCUCUCUCUUUCCGUAUGUAUCCACCACUCUUCCACUGUCAUUCUCCCCGCCAUUUGCGAAUCGCGCAACGACCGGUUGGUUCCGCGCCGCGUGCAAACUUCGUCUCCCUCGACUCACCACAUCUCUCUCUCUCUCUAUCUCUCUCUCUAUCUCCCUCUCUCUCUCUCUUUCUCCCUCUCUCUCCUCUCUCUCUCUCUCUCUCUCUCUCUCUCUCUCUCUCUCUCUCUUUCCCUACUCUCUUCAUUCGAAAAACGUACCUCCUCCAUUGGACGACGUUUCUACACGACUCGCUCCAUCUUUCUUUCUCUCAUUCCCGUUCCGUUCACCCGCACAGCGAUAUAGUCCGUCCUCGCUCUCUGUCUCCUUUUCUUAUUCUUCUUUUUCUUACUUUUCUUAUACUUCUUCUUCUUCAUGUAACAACACAUCUUAGGCACGUUUUUCCUGCGCACAGUGAGAAAUUGCACAGGGACUCGACGAUCAUCCAGACGAUACGUUGGGAAUAACUUUGUAAACUUUUUCCGGUCCAGUUAAUUUUAAUUGGUUAUAUUCAAUGAUAUAAAAUAAUAAAGCAUGGGUUAUCGAAUAUAUAUAUGUAUAUAUAUAUAUGUAUAUAUAUAUAUAUAUUCGAUAUCUUUGAUAUAACUUGUAUACUUUUAUACGUCAAUAUAUGCCGUAAUCUUGAUUAUUGCCAACUGUAUUUUGUGAUCGUAAUAUUGAUUAAAGAAAGAGGUGUAUUUAUAUGAAUAUUUUUUUUUUAUAUUUACCACAUCGCAGUAAUAAUAUCAAAAAGAAGCAACGUCAGUAGAAUUGAUUGAAAUUGGAUUUUAAUAGACGAUGAUUGGAUUUUAAUGGACAAUUUUAAUAAGAGCACAGUGGGCGAUAUUAAAGGAAGAAGCACCUGACGAAACCAGCCGGGUUAUCGAGCAGACGGCCAGGCAUAGGUAGGCUAGCUGGCAGGCAGGCAGCUCGUGUACGUAACGACGUACCUGCGGCAGGUGAAUCGAGUCAGGUGCCUCAACAGAUGGGUGCCUUUACUCAAGGAAGCGUUAUAAAAGCGGUCUAUAUCAUAAAUGUGGGUUAGUAGCGAUGACUAAUCCUCUCAAUGAUAGUGAAAUAUUUUAUCGUUUUUCUUUUCCUUGUGUGCGCUCGUGCGCGCGCGUGUAUGGGUAUUUUUGUGCGUAAUACGCGCGUUUUAUAUAAAAAAAACUUAAGUCAUGUAUAAAUAUAACGCAAUAAAUACAGUACAUACA